GACAGAGGAGGCAAGCGUUGUUCGGAAUUACUGGGCGUAAAGGGCGCGUAGGCGGCCUGCUAAGUCGAACGUGAAAUCCCUGGGCUCAACCCAGGAACUGCGUCCGAUACUGGUUGGCUUGAAUCCGGGAGAGGGAUGCGGAAUUCCAGGUGUAGCGGUGAAAUUCGUAGAUAUCGGGAGGAACACCAGUGGCGAAGGCGGCGACCUGGGCAGAUACUGACACUGAGGUGCGAAAGCGUGGGGAGCAAACAGG
rnacentral:rRNA from 1 species